AGCUUGCUCCGCUGACGAGUGGCGAACGGGUGAGUAAUGCAUCGGAACGUGCCGUGUAGUGGGGGAUAACGUAGCGAAAGUUACGCUAAUACCGCAUACGCCCUGAGGGGGAAAGUGGGGGACCGCAAGGCCUCACGCUAUACGAGCGGCCGAUGUCGGAUUAGCUAGUUGGUAGGGUAAAGGCCUACCAAGGCGACGAUCCGUAGCGGGUCUGAGAGGAUGAUCCGCCACACUGGGACUGAGACACGGCCCAGACUCCUACGGGAGGCAGCAGUGGGGAAUUUUGGACAAUGGGCGCAAGCCUGAUCCAGCCAUGCCGCGUGAGUGAAGAAGGCCUUCGGGUUGUAAAGCUCUUUCAGACGGAAAGAAAUCGGUGUGUCUAAUACACGCACUGGAUGACGGUACCGUAAGAAGAAGCACCGGCUAACUACGUGCCAGCAGCCGCGGUAAUACGUAGGGUGCGAGCGUUAAUCGGAAUUACUGGGCGUAAAGCGUGCGCAGGCGGUUAUGUAAGACAGAUGUGAAAUCCCCGGGCUCAACCUGGGAACUGCGUUUGUGACUGCAUAACUAGAGUACGGCAGAGGGAGGUGGAAUUCCACGUGUGGCAGUGAAAUGCGUAGAGAUGUGGAGGAACACCGAUGGCGAAGGCAGCCUCCUGGGCCAGUACUGACGCUCAUGCACGAAAGCGUGGGGAGCAAACGGGAUUAGAUACCCUGGUAGUCCACGCCCUAAACGAUGUCAACUA
rnacentral:rRNA from 1 species